ensembl:lncRNA
CCUGGGCCUGGCCCUCCUGACCCUCAUUCAAGGAUUAGCAGUAUCUUUUUGAAUAGGGAGUGUACUUCUCUUGAGUGGCCACUGGUUGUUGGAAGGGGGGGAAUUCAGUCUUGCUGAAACCGAGCUGGCUGAAAAUCUGCCGUGCAGCACCUAGGCUCCCUCUGGAGGGAGCGGAGCAGCACAAGCGCCUCCAGAUGGCGUCUGAUCCCGGCUCACCUGGCUGAGGAGGGAGAGCGAUUCCUAUUUCACGGGUGCGGCAUGUAAAUACGAUGAGGAAGAGGCACUUUGUUGCUGUCAAGAAUAGCCUGUGAUGUUGUAUGACUGCUUCAAGUCUUGAUGAUCCAAAGAGAAGAGUGAGUGAAAGAUCUGAGGGGGAAACACAGAGACGUUAAAGGAUAUACAUAACUGAGUGCUGAAAUGCAAAGCACACACUAGCUCAACUCUCCC